UACAGAGGUCUCAAGCGUUUGUUCGGAUUCAUUGGGCGUAAAGGGUGCGUAGGUGGCGUGGUAAGUCUGGUGUGAAAUCCCGGGGCUCAACCCCGGAACUGCACUGGAUACUGCCAUGCUUGAGUACUGGAGAGGAGAUUGGAAUUUACGGUGUAGCAGUGAAAUGCGUUGAUAUCAUCAGGAACACCAGUGGCGAAAGCGGCUUACUGGGUCUCUUCUGACGCUGGAGAUACGAAAGCUAGGGGAGCGAACGGG
rnacentral:rRNA from 1 species